rnacentral:rRNA from 1 species
GAUGAACGCUGGCGGCGUGCCUAAUACAUGCAAGUCGAGCGAACAGACGAGGUGCUUGUUCCUCUGACGUUAGCGGCGGACGGGUGAGUAACACGUGGAUAACCUACCUAUAAGACUGGGAUAACUUCGGGAAACCGGAGCUAAUACCGGAUAAUAUAUUUAACCGCAUGGUUCAAUAGUGAAAGACGGUUUUGCUUUCACUUAUAGAUGGAUCCGCGUGGGUUUAGCUAGUUGGUAAGGGAACGGACUACCAAGGCAACGAUACGAAGCCGACCGGAGGGGGGGAGCGGCCACACUGGGACUGGGACACGGCCCAAACCCCCACGGGAGGGAGCAGUAGGGAAUCUUCGGCAAUGGGGGAAAGGCUGAACGAGCAACGCCGGGGGAGUGAAGAAGGUUUUCGGAUCGUAAAACUCUGUUGGUAGGGAAGAAAGAUGGUGAGAGUGGAAAGCGCAUCAAGUGACGGUAACUACCCAGAAAGGGACGGCUAACUACGUG